rnacentral:tRNA from 2 species
GGGGUUGUAGCUCAGUUGGGAGAGCGCUUGAAUGGCAUUCAAGAGGUCGGGAGUUCAAUUCUCCCCAGCUCCACCA